AACAUUUUUAUUAAAAAAAAAAAAAAAAAAGAGUUCCCUUUCUCUACGUCCUCACCAGCAUUUGUUGUUUUCUGUCUUUUUUAUAAUAGGCAUUUUAACUGGAAUGAGAUGAUAGCUGAUUGUGCAUUUCGCCCAGCCUGGACUUUAGUGGCAUGAUCUCUGCUCACUGUAACCUCUGCCUCCCGGGUUCAAGUGAUUCUCCUGCCUCAGCCUCCCAAGUAGCUGGGAUUACAGGCAUACACCACCAUGGUCAGCUAAUUUUUGUUUCAUUAUGACCAAGUGGGAUUCAUCCCAUAGAUGCAAGGAUAGUUCAACAUAUGCAAAUCAAUGUGAUACAUCAUGUCAGCAGAAUGAAGGACAAAAACCAUAUGACCAUUUUAAUUGGUCAUAUGCUUUAUCAAAUGCUGAAAAAGCAUUUGAUAAAAUUCAACAUCAUUCUAUGAUUAAAAAACCUCAAAAAAACUGGGUAUAGAAGGAAUAUACCUCAACACAAUAAAAGCCAUAUACAGCAGACCCAGAGGUAGUAUCAUACCGAACGGGAAAAAUGAAAGCCUUUCCUCUGAGAUCUGGAAC
rnacentral:lncRNA from 1 species